UACGUAGGGUGCGAGCGUUGUCCGGAAUUAUUGGGCGUAAAGGGCUCGUAGGCGGUUUGUCGCGUCGGGAGUGAAAACACACAGCUUAACUGUGUGCUUGCUUCCGAUACGGGCAGACUAGAGGUAUGCAGGGGAGAACGGAAUUCCUGGUGUAGCGGUGAAAUGCGCAGAUAUCAGGAGGAACACCGGUGGCGAAGGCGGUUCUCUGGGCAUUACCUGACGCUGAGGAGCGAAAGCGUGGGGAGCGAACAGG
rnacentral:rRNA from 1 species